GGCUGGAUGGCCGAGCGGUCUAAGGCGGUAGACUCAAGAAAUUCACAUUUCUUCCCCUGCCUCAGGCGGGGUGGUGUUCUACUCUCGAAAGAGGCGCGCGUUCGAAUCGCGCUCCAGUCA
rnacentral:tRNA from 1 species